rnacentral:rRNA from 1 species
AACAAACGCUGGCGGCGUGCCUAAUACAUGCAAGUCGAACGGGGAAAGCUUUCGGGUGAGUACUAGUGGCGCACGGGUGAGUAACGCGUGGAUAAUCUGCCUUGAAGAGGGGGAUAACCAGUCGAAAGAUUGGCUAAUACCGCAUAAGACCACAGGAACUGAGGUUCUAGAGGUCAAAGGUUUUUCGCUUCAAGAUGAGUCCGCGUAAGAUUAGCUAGUUGGUGAGGUAACGGCUCACCAAGGCGACGAUCUUUAACUGGUCUGAGAGGAUGAUCAGUCACACGGGUACGGAGACACGGUCCAGACUCCUACGGGAGGCAGCAGUAGGGAAUAUUGCACAAUGGAGGAAACUCUGAUGCAGCGACGCCGCGUGAGUGAUGAGGGCCUUCGGGUCGUAAAGCUCUGUCGCAGGGGAAUAACACAAUGAAGGUACCCUGUAAGAAAGGAUCGGCUAACUUCGUGCCAGCAGCCGCGGUAACAC